rnacentral:misc_RNA from 1 species
UUGAGUUCACGCGUGAGGGACU